rnacentral:rRNA from 1 species
GGCGUAAGCCAGGUCGGUUUCUAUCUUUAAUGAAAUAAAAUAUUUUAGUACGAAAGGACCAAAUAUUUAAUAUAUUUAUAUUUUAUUUAUUGAAUAUUAUUAAAAUUU